rnacentral:lncRNA from 1 species
GAAUGUUACAUCUCUGCCCAGAUCAGACUUUUAUGUAAUGAAUGAGUUUCUGAAACCUUAUUCUAUUCUUUCAUUCUGAAAAAAUAAAUAUUAAUCUUUACAUAAGAGAGAAAAUUAAUUUCAUGUCAAAGUGAUUAUUAAAGCCUGAUAUGUCAUUAUUUUUCUCCAUUAUAAGUUAACACUAGGAUGGGAAAAUUGUUUAUAAUAUGGGUCUUUCAUUCUUUAUACUAUCUCUUGUUUAGUGUUUGUAAUAAAUGUAUGGUUCUCAAAAGGAAAUCAUGUUAUUUCUGAGAGUCAUAAAGAUGUUUUUUCUGACAUCUGCCUAAGCUCAGCUUCUUCAGUAGCUAACUACCAUCAACUUUGCUUCGUAAUUCCUAAUUAUGUUUCUCUUUUCAGAAUGGUUUUUAAUUUACCAUACUUCAAUUUCUAAAAUUAUGUAACAGAAUUAUCAAAAAACGAUGUGUCAAUAAGAACUAGGAGUCUGGAGGUGGUGGGGAGAGGUGAGAA